rnacentral:misc_RNA from 1 species
GUGUUUUUAUCUCAAAUAAACAUACAAUGACUUUUAGACGUGUGUAAAGAUCAGCGGCGAGCCGUUACCCAGCUCGCCACCGUGUGUGUGCACAGGGGUGGAUAUAUGCUCCCUCAGCGUGCAGCCCGAAGGCGCACAGCGUCGGAAUGAAGAGCCGUGAGGCCCAAACACAUUAAUGAUCCUUCCGCAGGUUCACCUACGGAAA